AGGAAAGAACUUCAUUUAUUAUCGUCUCAAUGGCUGGCAUGAAGCUUGAUUACUUUUCUUGCGAAAGUGAGCUUGGUUUUCUUUGAAAGGGCCGAUUGCCGUCAAAGUUCGGGCUUUUAUUUACGAUUCAAAGUUAAGUAUUGUGAAAUGUUUGAUUAUCAGUAGAAAGCCGCGAGCGCGUCAAUGAUUGACGAUGGUGAUUGUGGUAUAGACGCAGCAUUUACAUUCAUAACAAAAUGAACGACGGUGACUGGAUUUGCAGUGAUUCUAAUUGCGGAAAUAUCAACUUCGCUCGUCGAGUAUCAUGUUAUCGUUGCAAUAAAGAAAAGCCGGAUGCAGGGAAAAGUUUUAAUAAGAAGAAAUUGGGAACGGAGAUAGGAAAAUCGGCCGCCGAAAAAUCUAGAGGCUUGUUCAACGCAGACGAUUGGCAGUGCAACAAAUGCGCAAACGUCAACUGGGCCCGGCGUCAGACUUGCAAUGUUUGCAAUGCGCCAAAGUUCGGUGAAGUAGAAGCCCGUACGGGCUACGGCGGAGGCUACAACGAGCGCGGUGUAGUGGAGUACCGUCGACGGGAUCCAUCAUCUGAUGAUGAAUAUGAUGAAUUUGGUAGGAAGAAACGCAACAAGCGCAAGUCAGAGUCUCAGAGUCAAAGGAGUGACACCCAUGAUAAGGUUGGCACCACUGAAGUACCAGUGUCCAAAAAGUUGCCACUAAUGCUGCAAAAGGGAACCAUGUUGGAGCAUGCAUCUGCAUCAAACAAAAGAGAGCAUGAAAAAAUAAGUGGCAGCCUCAGUGAUGGUUCAGUGUGUGAACUUCCUCCACUCAGUAAAACUGCCUUCAGGAGACGUCAGAUCCAAAAUCAAACCAACUAUCACAGACAAGUUCAUAUGUUGCCGAAUUAUAAGACAGACACUCGUUCCCGCAAAAGAUAUUCAAGCACUGGAGACAAAGAGCACACCGGUUCAUCUGGACAUGAAACUGGAUGUAAAAGGAGCAAGAGAGAUAGUACUCAAUCUCCCAUUACAAAAGCUUAUAACCCUGUCAUGGAAAAUAUGGUAUCAUCAACAAAUAAUGAUGUACUAUACAAAUUCACUGGACCAUCUGCAGCUGAAAAUUUUGAAGUUACAUACACACUGGAGCAAAGAGUCAAGGCUGCAGCAUUUGCAAUAGUUUACAAUAAUUGCAAAAUUACUACCAACAAAUUCGAAGGCUUAUAUGACAAACCUGCACCAGAUUUUAAGACUAUUUUUGCAUGGAGGCAGCGUUUAUUAUUAACUGGUUGCUUAGUAGACGCUCAUACAGAUGGCAAAACUGAUACUGUAAAACCACACACAAACAUUCCUGCAAAGAAUAAUUUGCAGAAAAAACCAGUUCAAAAGUUGCCUAACCCUGAUGAAAUUAUCAUAUCAUCUUCAUCUGACAGUGAAAGUGACAAUAACAAAUUGUCACAAAAUGUGUCACAAAUGCCCAGGCCAAGAAGUGUUAGUGUUGAAACAAUGGUGAUAGGUGGCAUAGACAACAACAACAAACAACCAGGUAGCUCUGCUAGCACAGCAGAUGAGAGAACAUCACAUGGUAGGAGCCAUUCAAGAUCAACACAGCGUCGAGACCACUCUUCACAAGACAGUCAGGAAUCUGAUUACCCUGAUACAGAAUCUGAGCAAUUAGAUUCUAAAACAAAAUGUAGUCAAAACAGUACUAUAUCUACUAAGCCAGUACGACAGUCUGUUUGUGAUUCAGAUUCAGUCUCCUAUAACAGUGAUGAAGAAGAUUUCUUGUCAAGAGUUUAUAAAGGUAAAAAAUCUAAACGUAAAAUUAAGAGACACCAUAAUUCAGUCACUCCUGUUAAAACUACCACUUAUGAAUCUCCAAAUGUACCAGUUUAUUGUGGGUAUAAUACAGUAAAAGAGUCUGAAAAGUCUCCCCUGGUGACUGGCAAUAUCUAUACAUCAAAUGUACAAAAUAUGACUGUGAAAACCAGAGAGUAUUCACUCGUGGAUACAGACGGGUGUUCAAGUGAAUAUGUUCCAACAAAGCUUGGCUCAAAUGCAAAGAAAAACUAUCAAGCAUUUAGAGAUAAUGUCAAGAAGAAGGGCUAUUGGGCUAAGGCAAACGGUCAGUCAAUAUCCAAUAAACCAAAACCAAGGAAUCACAUUAAAAUGCAAACUGUUCAAAAUACUAAUAUAAUACAGGAUUCAUUUUGGGCUAAAACUAAUAAACAAUGCAUGUCCACAAAUAAUGUUACUAAUACACAUGUUAUCAUUCCUGGUGUACAAGACAAUACAUCUGAAAGCUUUUGGGCUAAAGAACAUUCUAUACCUAAAAAUACAAGAGAAUUCAAAGAGCCUGUGAUAAAAUGUGUGGAUAAACUGCCAAGCCAUCUUUAUGGGAAUGAGAAUCAAGGUUAUGUUUCAGCACAACAGCCAUUAAUCAAUGAUCAAAAUGAAUUUGCAAAUGAUGAUUUUAAUAACUUUCUACAAGUAGAUCACUAUACUUCGUUUGACAAAUUAUCAAUACCUGCUAUAGGAAAGUCGCCAGAGAAUACUUCUAGCAUAUUUGAUAUGGUACAGUCGAAUUCGGCGAGCAAAAAUAAAAGCAUAAUGGACAUUUUUAAUAUUGGGGAACAAGCUGAAGAAAGUGCUGAGGGAAAAAAUGACCUGGAAAAAUACGACAGUGCCAGGAAACUGUUUGAAGCUCAGUGGGACGAUGAUGACGACGCUCUCUACGGAAAUUCCGAUACAAUUGAGAUGUCUGUAGCUGCAAAGCGCACACCUUCACCUCCAAGCAUUGGAUCGAUAAAAGCACAGAGUCCUCCAAACAAUAUGGAAUAUAUUGAUGAAAUAGAUCAAGAAAAAACGUCUACGCCAAAUAAAAUAUCCAUGGAUGUUAUUCGUGAUAGACGUGAUAAGUUACUAGAUAUAUUGAAGGACUUUCAGAAUAAUCGGGAACAAGAAGUAAAUAGUAAUAUUUCGCCUUCAACUGCUGAUGCGCUGAAUUCCCCUAUCCCGCCAAAACAAGACUUUAUUAACCAAAUGAAUAAACAGACCAUACCCACCAGUCUUAUAAAAAGACCUGAGGCUAUUCCUGCAGAGCUCUCCAGUGAAAUAGUGUUGUCUGGACAAGAUAAAGAAAGUACAAACAAUUCAUAUAAAAUCAGCCCAUCUAAACAAGUUCACAUUAUCGAAUCUAUAAUUAUUCAGCCAAAUGAUGAUUUAUAUGUGGAACAAAAUUGUCAUCCACAUACUGAUCAUAGUUCAUCUAAAUCGGUAACAAAUAAUUCAGAAUCAUGUUUUGGUUUACAAGAACCAACAACUCCAGCGGAAAUUCAAGAUUCUGCUCCAACCCCACAAAUCUUAGCACCACAAAUAGAUUUGUCAAAUAUACUAUCUGGUUUAAAUACUAAUACUCUUUUAUUAGCUCUGCAAAGUAUUCAACAAAUAUCACAAAAUUCAUCAACUGGUAACACAAACACUGUGGCACAGGAAGAUACUGAACAAAAUGCUCCCAAUGAUGAUGAACCUGUGGAGACUAUUAAUUUGACAAAUGACGAGGAUUGGGAGAAAGAGUCUAAUGCAGAUAACAGCAUUGAACGUCAACUAGAAAGGCUUGAUGGCAACACUGGAGAUACUCCUUUUUUGAGCGACAUCUUUGAUCCCAGUCCAGUCGUUAUACCUCCACAAAUCGCGAAAAAACUAAAUAUAAACCUCAAAAAACCAGAAGAUAAAACAGACACACAACUGCCUCUUAUCAAUGAUAACGCGCCUGUUAUAGGGAACUUUAAAAGUUUCGCGUUACCAAAGCCGAUACUGUUGAAUAGGCUGAAGGUGACGAUGAAAGUACCAGAUAAAAGUUCUAAAGGUGGAGGCAAGAAAAAGAAGGGCAAAGCGUCCGCGUCGAAGGGCGAUGGCGGUGAAGAGGAAGAAGAUGACGAAGAAGAGUCUGGGGACGAAGCUGACCUUUCCAAGUACGAUUUAUGGGGCAGUGAUAACGAGCAAGGUUCGUCAAAGGCAGACGCAGAAAAGGCUAAGGAAGGGGAGGGAUCCAAAGAGGUUUCAGAUCCGGCCGAUAAAAACGGUAAACGUCCGUCACCAGAGGCCAAGAGGAGUAAGAGAAGGUUUGUCUUAGAUGUCUAGUUCCUCAUCAUCUUCAAGUUCGUCUUCCAGUUCCAGUUCUAGUCAAACAUCUGCUCCAAAAAACAAGUUCGAUGAUUUCAACUUGAACAGUGAGCGGGAGGGGUCGCCGCGCGGGCGCAAGUCUCGAUCACGCU
rnacentral:misc_RNA from 1 species